UUUUAGUCAUAUGCUUGUCUCAAAGAUUAAGCCAUGCAUGUCUAAGUAUAAGCAAUUAUACAGCGAAACUGCGAAUGGCUCAUUAUAUAAGUUAUCGUUUAUUUGAUAGUGCCUUACUACUUGGAUAACCGUGGUAAUUCUAGAGCUAAUACAUGCUGAAAGCCCCGACUCACGGAGGGGCGUAUUUAUUAGAUUAAAAACCAAUGCCCUUCGGGGCUCCUUGGUGAUUCAUGAUAACUUCUCGAAUCGCACGGCCUUGCGCCGGCGAUGGUUCAUUCAAAUUUCUUCCCUAUCAACUUUCGAUGUUUGGGUAGUGGCCAAACAUGGUGGCAACGGGUAACGGAGGGUUAGGGCUCGACCCCGGAGAAGGAGCCUGAGAAACGGCUCCUACAUCCAAGGAAGGCAGCAGGCGCGCAAAUUACCCAAUCCCGACUCGGGGAGUAGUGACAAUAAAUACUGAUGCAGGGCUCUUUAGGGUCUUGCAAUUGGAAUGAGUACAAUUUAAAUCCCUUAAGGAGGAACAAUAGGAGGAGCGUUACUCAGCUCCAUAGCGUAUAUUAAAGUUGUUGUGGUUAAAAAGCUCGUAGUUGAACCUUGGGCCUGGCCGUCCGGUCCGCCUCACCGCGUGCACUGGCACGGCCGGGCCUUCCCACCGCGGAAUCGCAUGCCCUUUACUGGGCGUGUCGGGGAAGCGGUACUUUUACUGUGAAAAAAUUAGAGUGCUCUAAGCAGGCCUAUGCUCGAAUACAUUAGCAUGGAAUAAUAGAAUAGGACAGGCGUUCUAUUUUGUUGGUUUCUAGGACGUCUGUAAUGAUUAACAGAAACAAUCGGGGGCGUCAGUAUUGCAUCGUCAGAGGUGAAAUUCUUAGAUCGACGCAAGACUAACUACUGCGAAAGCAUUCGCCAAGGGUGUUUUCAUUAAUCAGGAACGAAAGUUAGGGGAUCGAAGACGAUCAGAUACCGUCGUAGUCUUAACCAUAAACUAUGCCGACUAGGGAUCGGGCGGUGUUAAUUUUUGACCCGCUCGGCACCUUACGAGAAAUCUUAAGUGCUUGGGCUCC
rnacentral:rRNA from 1 species